ACGGGAGGCAGCAGUGGGGGAUAUUGCACAAUGGGGGAAACCCUGAUGCAGCGAUGCCGCGUGGAGGAAGAAGGUUUUCGGAUUGUAAACUCCUGUCGUAAGGGAAGAGGAAGGACUGUACCUUACAAGAAAGCUCCGGCUAACUACGUGCCAGCAGCCGCGGUAAUACGUAGGGAGCGAGCGUUGUUCGGAAUGACUGGGUGUAAAGGGAGCGUAGGCGGGAUGGCAAGUCAGAUGUGAAACCUGAGGGCUCAACCUUCAGACUGCAUUUGAAACUGCUGUUCUUGAGUGAAGUAGAGGUAAGCGGAAUUCCUGGUGUAGCGGUGAAAUGCGUAGAGAUCAGGAGGAACAUCGGUGGCGAAGGCGGCUUACUGGGCUUUUACUGACGCUGAGGCUCGAAGCGUGGGGAGCAAACAGGAUUAGAUACCCUGGUA
rnacentral:rRNA from 1 species